UACGUAGGGUGCGAGCGUUAAUCGGAAUUACUGGGCGUAAAGCGUGCGCAGGCGAUGAUGUAAGACAGAUGUGAAAUCCCCGGGCUCAACCUGGGAACUGCAUUUGUGACUGCAUCGCUGGAGUGCGGCAGAGGGGGAUGGAAUUCCGCGUGUAGCAGUGAAAUGCGUAGAUAUGCGGAGGAACACCGAUGGCGAAGGCAAUCCCCUGGGCCUGCACUGACGCUCAUGCACGAAAGCGUGGGGAGCAAACAGG
rnacentral:rRNA from 1 species